GACCCGCGCCAAGUGGAGGUUCCAGCAGGCAGGGGUUGCCCCGUGCCCACACAGGAGGAAGUACUGACUAACAAACAUGGUACUGCCAUAACCAGUGGCAGGCCACAGGAUUUUUAUGAACUCUUUAAGGCCUUCAGUCUUGCCUGGCUGUGUCUUGGCCAGCAUGAAGCUUUGAUUUAUCUUGCAGAGCAAAAUCAGUCUGCUGUUACCCAGCAGGUGCAAGUACAGAAUAUGUUAAAGUGUAGGCUUGCACACUGAGACUGUGAAAUGUCCUCUCCAGGGCUAUGAAGACACUUUACCUAAAAUUAGGUCUCCUUGGAGAAUUUGACUUGUUACUGGAAGUGAAAUGCUUUAUCAAAAAUAAACAAAGCCAAAACAAAGAAAAGAA